AAGUCGAACGAAGGCACUAGCUUGCUAGUGUCCUUAGUGGCGCACGGGUGAGUAACGCGUGGGAACCUGCCCAGAAGCGGGGAGCAACCAUUGGAAACGAUGGCUAAUACCGCAUAUGCCCUCCGGGGGAAAGGCUUCGGCCACUUUUGGAUGGUCCCGCGUCUGAUUAGCUUGUUGGUGAGGUAACGGCUCACCAAGGCGACGAUCAGUAGCUGGUCUGAGAGGAUGAUCAGCCACGCUGGGACUGAGACACGGCCCAGACUCC
rnacentral:rRNA from 1 species